CCUUCUGCCACAGAGCUCUUGGCCCUGGGUCUCACGCUGUAGCACAGGUCCACCUCCUAGCAAAUUGUUUGGAAUGAACAUGAGAAAUGUUUGAAUUUUCAUCUCUCCCUCCAGGCUGAAGAACUU